rnacentral:rRNA from 1 species
UACGUAGAAGACUAGUGUUAUUCAUCGUUGAGUAGGUUUAAAAGGGUACCUAGACGGAAAUACUAGCCCAGAAUAGGGUACGGUAAUUUCUAGAGAUUUUAUAAGGAGAAGAGGAGUAUCAGUAGUGUAGAGAUGAAAUUUGUUGGAUACUUUGACGACUGGUAAAGGCGAAAGGCAAUCUUCUAUCUAAAAACUGACGAUU